UACAUUUCCAUCGGAGGGGGACAACCGGUGGAAACGCGCGCUAAUACCGCGUAAGCCGAAAGGUGAAAGGCCACGNAAAUGGCUGCCGAUGGGGGGGUUCGCGUCCUAUCAGCUAGUUGGUGGGGUAAGGGCCUACCAAGGCGAAGACGGGUAGCCGGUCUGAGAGGGUGAUCGGCCACACUGGAACUGAGAUACGGUCCAGACUCCUACGGGAGGCAGCAGUGGGGAAUAUUGGGCAAUGGGGGCAACCCUGACCCAGCGACGCCGCGUGAGGGAAGAAGGUUUUCGGAUCGUAAACCUCUGUUGUACGGGAAGAAGGAAGUG
rnacentral:rRNA from 1 species